rnacentral:rRNA from 1 species
GACGGGGCCCGCACAAGCGGUGGAGCAUGUGGUUUAAUUCGACGCAACGCGAAGAACCUUACCAGGGCUUGACAUCCCCUGACCGCGUAUGAAAGUACGUUUUCACCCUCGGGUGACAGGGAGACAGGUGGUGCAUGGUUGUCGUCAGCUCGUGUCGUGAGAUGUUGGGUUAAGUCCCGCAACGAGCGCAACCCCUACGUUUAGUUGCUAACGCGUGAAGGCGAGCACUCUAGACGAACUGCCGUUGACAAAACGGAGGAAGGUGGGAUGACGUCAAAUCAUCAUGCCCCUUAUGUUCUGGGCUACACACGUGCUACAAUGGCCGGUACAGACGGACGCAAAGCCGCGAGGUGGAGCAAAUCCUAAAAAGCCGGUCUCAGUUCGGAUUGCAGGCUGCAAUUCGCCUGCAUGAAGUCGGAAUCGCUAGUAAUCGCAGGUCAGCAUACUGCGGUGAAUACGUUCCCGGGCCUU